rnacentral:rRNA from 1 species
GGCGGCGUGCCUAAUACAUGCAAGUCGAACGAGAGCGACCGGUGCUUGCACUGGUCAAUCUAGUGGCGAACGGGUGAGUAACACGUGGGUAACCUGCCCAUCAGAGGGGGACAACAUUCGGAAACGGAUGCUAAAACCGCAUAGGUCUUCGAACCGCAUGGUUUGAAGAGGAAAAGAGGCUUCGGCUUCUGCUGAUGGAUGGACCCGCGGUGCAUUAGCUAGUUGGUGAGGUAACGGCUCACCAAGGCCGUGAUGCAUAGCCGACCUGAGAGGGUGAUCGGCCACAUUGGGACUGAGACACGGCCCAAACUCCUACGGGAGGCAGCAGUAGGGAAUCUUCCGCAAUGGACGCAAGUCUGACGGGGCAACGCCGCGUGAGUGAAGAAGGAUUUCGGUUCGUAAAACUCUGUUGUUAGAGAAGAACAGCGCAUAGAGUAACUGUUAUGCGUGUGACGGAUCUAACCAGAAAAGC